rnacentral:pre_miRNA from 1 species
GAUGUACUCCCUCCGUCCGGAAAUACUUGUCAUCAAAAUGGAUAAAAAGGGAUGUAUCUAGAUGUAUUUUAGUUCUAGAUACAUCUCUUUUUAUUCAUUUUGAUGACAAGUAUUUUCGGACGGAGGGAGUAUCUA